AGUGUGUACUUGCAAGCAUGCAUUUGUAAGUGUGUAGUUAGUAGACAGUUUGGUUUGCAGUGUAGAUCUCAACCUUUCUUUUUCUCAUACAAGUGCAAGUCUCUCCAGGGUUUUCCGAGACCAGAUGCUAAGCUGCAGCUGCAAGCUGCUGAAAAGUCCGUUUUAACUCCACUUCUUAGUCGCCUCGUUAAAAGGAAUUACAGAGCUGGUGCCCAAUUUUGUUCACGCCGGCCAGUUGCCUCAGGAUUCCAAACCCGUUUAUGAGUCUGCAUGGCGGGUGGCCGACUUCAAUUGUUCUCGACGAUGUUGGCGGUACACCCGUUAUCUCAGGAGCGAAAUCGUGUGAACAGACUGCCAGCCGGGGCGCAAUGGUUUUCCACCCGUUCGGUAAUAUGUUCAUCAAGAGAGACGUCUGUUGGGAAACGCGAGAAAAGACAUGCGUAAGUAAAAGAUGUGCACUGUUACAAACACGUCCGGAGCAUUCGGAAACAUUACUGAAACUUUUGAUGUAACUCAACGUCUCGUGAGCUUCAGGUGAAAGUUACAACUUCAACAUUAUUGGGCAUCUCACUCGUGUAAAUCUUGUCAGAAUGUCAGAAACCUAUCUGAAAACCUGAUCAAAAUUCGCGUACCUCUGAAAGCUGAAAACAUCUCUUGACGGUCUGUAGAACUCAAACCAUCAAUAUCAGAUUAAGUUUUCAGAAUUUCAGCUUAUAGAGGUGCGCGAAUUUUGAUCAGGAUUUCAGACAUGUUUCUGACAUUCUGACAAAAUUUACACGAGUGCUUUGAAAUAAGUACACAAUGAAUAUUUAAGUAUAAUUUUGUACGUGAUACUCGUACGAUUUUGCGCUUACGUCGAAUUUGCCUAAUAUUAGGAGCAGAAAUACAUAAAUUUGUGUUAAUUCGAGCACAAUGAGAUGCAAAACAUUACACAGGUUUAAAAUCAUGCAACACCUACAAAAUUGUAUGAGGUGUUGCAUGAUUUCAAACCUGUGUAAUUUUUUGCAUC